rnacentral:rRNA from 1 species
UACGGGGGAGCAAGCGUUUGUUCGGAUUUACUGGGCGUAAAGGGCGCGUAGGCGGCCUGUGCAAGUCAGUUGUGAAAUCUCCGAGCUUAACUCGGAAAGGUCAACUGAUACUGCUCGGCUAGAGUGCGGAAGGGGCAACUGGAAUUCUUGGUGUAGCGGUGAAAUGCGUAGAUAUCAAAGAGGAACACCUGCGGCGAAGGCGGGUUGCUGGGCCGACACUGACGCUGGAUGCGCGAAAGCUAGGGGGAGCGAAACGGG